UNACCGGCCACACUGGGACUGAGACACGGCCCAGACUCCUACGGGAGGCAGCAGUGWWWAAUAUUGCACAAUGGGCGCAAGCCUGAUGCAGCGACGCCGCGUGAGGGAUGACGGCCUUCGGGUUGUAAACCUCUNUCAGUAGGGAAGAAGCGAAAGUGACGGUACCUGCAGAAGAAGCACCGGCUAACUACGUGCCAGCAGCCGCGGUAAUACGUAGGGNGCGAGCGUUAUCCGGAAUUAUUGGGCGUAAAGAGCUCGUAGGCGGUNUGUCGCGUCUGUCGUGAAAGUCCGGGGCUUAACCCCGGAUCUGCGGUGGGUACGGGCAGACUAGAGUGCAGUAGGGGAGACUGGAAUUCCUGGUGUAGCGGUKKAAUGCGCAGAUAUCAGGAGGAACACCGAUGGCGAAGGCAGGUCUCUGGGCUGUMACUGACGCUGAGGAGCGAAAGCAUGGGGAKCGAACAGGAUUAGAUACCCUGGUAGUCCAUGCCGUAAACGUUGGGCACUAGGUGUGGGGAYCAUUCCACGGUUUCCGCGCCGCAWUAACGCAUUAAGUGCCCCGCC
rnacentral:rRNA from 1 species